rnacentral:rRNA from 1 species
GGACUCCUUGAGAGUCCUGAAGGAACGUUGAAGACGACGACGUUGAUAGGCCGGGUGUGUAAGCGCAGCGAUGCGUUGAGCUAACCGGUACUAAUGAACCGUGAGGCUUAACCUUACAACGCCGAAGGUGUUU